GGAAUAUUGUUGAAUAAAAAACCGAAUAAUAGAGACAAAGACGAACAGAGAGCUAGGAUCAUCAACAUAGUAAGAUAAAAAUAUCUGAAAUGGCUAGAAAUGUAUGACAUAGAAGCUAAAAUCCAUUACUAUGGGCAGUGCAGGACCCAUCAAUAGGGAAAAGACUACUAGGAAGCCCGAGGGUGACGUAGUAAAAAAGGAUGUAAAUG